rnacentral:lncRNA from 1 species
CCCAUCAAACUAAUGUGACAGCUCAUUUACAUAUUUCUCCUGUGCAGCGCCCUCGCUUGACCCUUAAGGUAAAGCUCUCACUUAGCCAAUUGUCUUGAGUGAGUCAUUCCACCACUAGCACUGGUACUGUAAACACCACACAGUGUCCUGCCACUUCUACACAUGUUCUUAGUUAAUGCCUCAAGAUUUUGUGGAUGACUCGACUGGGGGUUUGUUUUGUUUGUGUAAGAUGCAGUUCACCAUUAAAUGAACCAGACACAGUAAAUGUA